rnacentral:misc_RNA from 1 species
UGGAUACUAGUUAAUCUCGUAGUAGUUUAUACUAUAGUUUCCCCGGAUCAUGACUUAAACAAGAAAACAAAAGAAAAAUACAAAUAUUACAAAACGGAAGUCAUUCUACUAGGAUUACAGAGCACCCAACAUAAGAAUACAUAGUAUCAGUAAUAGAAAAACUGAUGUAUACAUGGUAAAAUCAGUAAGGAGUGUAGUAGUACCCUCCUGCAGGGGGUACUCCAACGCCAUUUACUGGUGGCAUGCCAUAAGGCAUCCCAACUGCUUGGUAUCCGCCACUGCUGAUCUUGGACAAACUCGUCUGUCCUUGCAUCCCAUUUCUAGCAUAUUGCUGCCAUAGAAUUUGCUCCUGCACAAGUAAUUGUUGUUUCUUCUCCAAAUCCGCCAUUUGUACAUAAGCAGGAGGUGGAACACUCAAAGAUGCAGCAAAUGGAUCCUGUCCAACGGUCUGGACUGUUCCAUCGGGUGCAGGGAGUGCUAAAACCGGUGUUGAACUCUUCCCUGGUCCAGGUAAUGCUACACUGCUCGCACUACCACCACUUGACUGAGCAGUGGCAACAUGUUGCCUAACCAUCCCUUGAUCAUACAUGCCAUUCAACAGCAGUGGAUCAAGUCCACCACCCAUUGUUGCCUUCUGCUGAGACAGAUGACUAGCUGUCUCAACCAAAGCCAACUCCCAAUCAGCCUUACCACUCUCAGCCGCUGGAUUCUGCCAAGCAGAGGUUACCUCAGGUCCCCCAUUGGAGGAGAAUGCUUCCCAUGAUCCAUUGUUUGUUACAGGCCCUGCAAACAAUGCCAACGCAAAUUUAUUUCCUUGAUCAUCGGCAGUAACACCCUCUUCCCUUAAAUCCACCAAAUCCCCAGUCUCCUGAACCACUGCCGCUGGCUUAGGAGACUCUGGUUUAGGUGGGGGUGGAGGAGUAUAAUCCUCUGGUGGAGGCAAGGCUUUAAUCUCAUUCAUAUCGGGUGGUGAUUCUUCUGAUGGAGUUGGCAGAGGCUCAACUUUCCUCUCGGGACUUUUUGUUGCCUU